CAGUAGCCACGGUAAUACGGAGGGUGCAAGCGUUAAUCGGAAUUACUGGGCGUAAAGCGCACGCAGGCGGUCUGACAAGUCAGAUGUGAAAUCCCCGGGCUUAACCUGGGAACUGCAUUUGAAACUGUCAGGCUGGAGUCUUGUAGAGGGGGGUAGAAUUCCAGGUGUAACGGUGAAAUGCGUAGAGAUCUGGAGGAAUACCGGUGGCGAAGGCGGCCCCCUGGACAAAGACUGACGCUCAGGUGCGAAAGCGUGGGGAGCAAACAGGAUUAGAUACCCCAGUAGUCCCUGUCUCUUAUAC
rnacentral:rRNA from 1 species